rnacentral:rRNA from 1 species
UGAGCUUGAUCCUGGCUCAGGACGAACGCUGGCGGUAUGCCUAAUACAUGCAAGUCGAACGCUGAAGCACUCUGCUUGCAGAGUGUGGAUGAGUGGCGAACGGGUGAGUAACACGUGGGGAACCUGCCCAUAAGAGGGGGAUAACAUCCGGAAACGGGUGCUAAUACCGCAUAGGUGAUCAUAGCGCAUGCUUAGAUCAUUAAAGAUGGCUUCGGCUAUCGCUUAUGGAUGGCCCCGCGGCGUAUUAGCUAGUUGGUGAGGUAAUGGCUCACCAAGGCUGUGAUACGUAGCCGACCUGAGAGGGUGAUCGGCCACACUGGAACUGAGACACGGUCCAGACUCCUACGGGAGGCAGCAGUAGGGAAUCUUCCACAAUGGGCGAAAGCCUGAUGGAGCAAUACCGCGUGAGUGAAGAAGGUCUUCGGAUCGUAAAGCUCUGUUGUUAGAGAAGAAUCAAGAGGUGUAGUAACUGGCACCUCCUUGACGGUAUCUAACCAGA